AUUGAACGCUGGCGGCAGGCCUAACACAUGCAAGUCGAGCGAGCGGCGGACGGGUGAGUAAUGUCUGGGAAACUGCCUGAUGGAGGGGGAUAACUACUGGAAAAGGUAGCUAAUACCGCAUACCAUCAGAUGUGCCAAGAGGGGAUUAGUUAGUAGGUGGGGUAACGGACCACCUAGGCGACGAUCCCUAGCUGGUCUGAGAGGAUGACCAGCCAAACUGGAACUGAGCAACGGUCCCGACUCCUACGGGAGGCCGCAGUGGGGAAUAUUGCACAAUGGGCGCAAGCCUUAUGCAGCCCUGCCUCGUGUGUGAGGAAGGCCUUCGGGUUGUAAAGCACUUUCAGCGGGGAGGCGUUACCCGCAGAAGAAGCACCGGCUAACUCCGUGCCAGCAGCCGCGGUAAUAC
rnacentral:rRNA from 1 species